AGGAUGAACGCUGGCGGUCUGCUUAACACAUGCAAGUCGAACGGGCGUAGUAAUACGUUAGUGGCGGACGGGUGAGUAACGCGUGAGAAUCUACCUUCAGGACGGAGACAACAGUUGGAAACGACUGCUAACCCCCGAUGUACCGAAAGGGCAAAUAUUUAUAGCCUGAAGAAGAGCUCGCGUCCGAUUAGCUAGUUGGAGAGGUAAAAGCUCACCAAGGCGACGAUCGGUAGCUGGUCUGAGAGGACGAUCAGCCACACUGGGACUGAGACACGGCCCAGACUCCUACGGGAGGCAGCAGUGGGGAAUUUCGCAAUGGCGAAAGCCUGACGGAGCAAGACCGCGUGGGGAAGAAGGCUCUUGGGUUGUAAACCCCUUUUCUCUGGGAAGAACGCAAUGACGGUACCAGAGGAAUCAGCAUCGGCUAACUCCGUGCCAGCAGCCGC
rnacentral:rRNA from 1 species